rnacentral:rRNA from 1 species
GGAGUUAACACAAUAAGUAAUCCACUUGGGGAGUACGGCCGCAAGGCUGAAACUCAAAGGAAUUGACGGGGGCCCGCACAAGCAGUGGAGUAUGUGGAUUAAUUCGAUGCAACGCGAAGAACCUUACCAGGUCUUGACAUCCCGCUAACGAGGUAGAGAUACGUUAGGUGCCCUUCGGGGAAAGCGGAGACAGGUGGUGCAUGGUUGUCGUCAGCUCGUGUCGUGAGAUGUUGGGUUAAGUCCCGCAACGAGCGCAACCCUUACGGUUAGUUGCUACGCAAGAGCACUCUAGCCGGACCGCCGUUGACAAAACGGAGGAAGGUGGGGAUGAUGUCAAAUCAUCAUGCCCCUUAUGACCUGGGCCUCACACGUACUACAAUGGCCGUUAACAGAGGGAAGCAAAGCCGCGAGGCAGAGCAAAACCCCAAAAACGGUCUCAGUUCGGAUCGUAGGCUGCAACCCGCCUGCGUGAAGUUGGAAUUGCUAGUAAUCGCGGAUCAGCAUGCCGCGGUGAAUACGUUCCCGGGCCUUGUACACACCGCCCGUCACACCAUGGGAGCCGGUAAUGCCCGAAGUCAGUAGCCUAACCGCAAGGAGGGCGCUGCCGAAGGUAGGAUUGGCGACUGGGGUGAAGUCGUAACAAGGUAGCCGU